CAAAUGUCUAUCCAAUGUUAACAGUCCUAAAGGACACUAAACCUAUUGCUCUGAUACCAACUUGUCACAUCCCAAAUUCAGCAGGUACCAGAUCCCAGGUGACGAAUAAAUAAGUUUGAAGUUAUUUUACUGCAA